rnacentral:lncRNA from 1 species
GGAAGGGGAGGAAGGACUUGGGCAAUGAAUUAAGGAUCGCAUCCUUACCGAGCUGCUCAUGCAAGGGAAAGCCCAGUUUACUUAGGCGCUCAAUCAUUUCAAUCAUGUACAGUACAUGAUCAGUGACUGAGGCUCCAUCCCUCAUCCGAGUAUUAAAAAUGGCACAACUAGUUUUGUACCUUUCAACAUCGUCAAGCAUGCCAA